UGGAGAUCUAAGUUCACGUAUUUGAUGAUUUGUUCUUGACUCUUCUGGUUUCUUAAUAUGUGAUGGGGUCUGUGUGUGUUCAGUGUCUCGUGAAGGCUGUCUCCUGUCAUCUGUGUCUGCACAUGCCUCAGCCAUGCUCAGCAGCGGACCUCACAUGCUUCCUGAGGUGGGGGUGCAGCUUGACGUGUUUUACAGAAUUUGGGCCAAAUUAACAGAAUGGGUAUUUUUUGUCAUCAUAUACCUGUAUAGUUUGGAAGUUAUACUUGUUUCUCUUUUGUUUUAAAGUUUGCUAUUUUACAGAUUUGUAUUAUGAGCAUCAGAAAAUAAUGUUUUAUUUUUUCAUUACUAUCUAAAAACUAAAGGGCAGAUCAAGUAUACCUUAGCAAUGUAUUCGUGUUUUAAAUUUUUUAUUUUAUUUUGUAUGUUGGUGUUUGCUUGCCUGUGCGGCUGUGUACCACGCAUGUGCAGUGCCCAAGGAGACCAGGAGCUCUUGCCCAAGGAGAGCUCUGGACUGGGGUCACAGAGGGCUGUGAGCUGCCCUGCGGGUGCUGGGAGGAGCUUGACUGCUUUAGAAGAGCUGUCUGUGUUCUCACCCACUGACCGGCUCUCCAGCACUCUCUCCCCCAUGUUACUUACAUAAUGGCCUUAGCACUUCCACAGGUCAGCGCUCACAACAGCUGUUCUGCAUCCAUUUGCCCUCCAAGCUGGAAGAGGGACCCCCUCUUUGGGGAUGGUAUGCAUUUUCUUCAAUUAAAGUUACUUCUUUUUGAUUAUUUGAGAAUCUCAUCAAUGUUUUCUGAUAAGUUUGCCUCCCACCCCUCCUUUAACUCUUUCUUUCCCACCGUGUGCUCCCGUUCCUGUCUUACUUUAUUUUCCCCACCCCACCAAGUCCGAUUUGUAUUGUCCAGAUAAAUGUGAGGCGCCACCCUCAGAGAACCUUGACUGUCCCUUCCUCAGAAGCCACAAACUGCCAGUAACUCCCCAACUGUGUGCUUUGGGGGCUCAGGGGAUGUGUGCCCAUCCGUGCUGGGAUGUUAUCUGGCUGGGAUGUGUAGAUUCGAGGUUAUUUCUUAGUCUGCCUUAUGCAGUCUGAUGUUCCUAACUGUGCCCCUUUGCCUUUAUUUCUUAGAGAUGUUUUCAAUGGGAAGAUUUUAUAUUCAAUGUUGUUUAUUUAAUCCAUUGCAGUUGGUGAAUGCCUUUUCCUCCUAGACACCCUGUAUUAUACCAUUUGGGGAUUAAGUCAAAGUUAAGUAUAUUUUUUUCUUACUUGAGCUCUAUAUAUGCAAUUCAGAUAUCUUUCUGAUGACAGUUUUAUAUGUAAAUGUAAUUUAACUUUCUUUCCGUGUUGACGAAGUUCUGUAGGUGUUAGGGUUAGAAGUCUCAGCACUCACUUCUCUCACUGGAUGUGCAGUGUGCCUGCCAUGGCGCACGGCUUCUCAGUAAUGAUGCCAUCUCUGCUACUUUUACAGAAGGAGAAGUUUACUUUUGAGGUGGGUAUGUGUUGAUAUCUAAACACUGUGUGUGUUGCUUGCUUAGAUAGGCAAGACACACUGCUGUGCGUGGCUCCUGUGGUGCACCUAGCCCAGGGGAACGUAGCCUCAGUACUUCCGCUGGCUUCUUCAUGCCUAAGAAGCAGGGGCCUUUCUUGUUUGCUGGGCUCUGGCUUUAAAAGUUGUCCUUUGGGUCUGGAGAUGUAGCUCUGUGACAGAACACCAGCUAAUGUCAGGUCCUGCGGUCAGUCUCUGGUACACACAAGCGCACACUCACAUGAUGGGGGGAUGAAAGGCUGUCCUUGUGUAACAGUAUUCGAUGGGGCGUUGCCUGGAUGACGAUGUUUAUGUACUCUGAAGGCAGAUCCUGAAGGCACCCUGUUCUUCCCUUCCUUGUGUAACUGAGUCUGCACUAGCUUAGCCACUGUUUUAGAGGCCAUCCUAGUGGGCGAACAGGAGGCAUCGCACUGGGUGAUGGUUUGCCUUCAGUCCUCAAGUAACAGCGGCCGACUUAUGCGAUGGCUUGUUUGAAAUCAAAUAUUACCAGUUGCCUAGUCUGCCUUCUGUGAGAAGGGGAGAAGGAAGGGUGAAGGGUGGAUGGAAGCCUUUGGGAACUAGUCUGAUCUCUCAUGGUCUCUCUGAGACAGUUUCCUCUAGCCGAGGGUUGGAAGUUGUCAGGGCAGGGCUGACUGCACAGGCUUUUCUUCUGUCAUCCUCGGGUUCUGCUAAAUCAGAAGAGCAAGUGCUGAUUGUCUCUCCUGUGGCUCACCCAGGAGUCGGUGGUGGCGCCUAGGCCUGGCCAGCCAGCCCAACAGCCUCGUUUCCUCCCUUCUGUCCUGUGUACUUUUCUCUUUCUACGUGUCUUUGUGUAGCGUCCACACUGACGGUUUUAGACUUUGUGGGUGGCUUUGCCUUUUUCAAGCCUUUCAGGAAAAAUCAUGUGACUGUUUGUCACCAUUGCCAUGGUUGGUUGUAGUGUUUUUUGUGACAUUUUUGUUUCUCGUUUUGAACUCCAGAUUAUUGGGUUUUUGUUUUAAUUUAUUUUUGUCAGAGGAAAAAUAAUUUAACAUCCAUCUCACAGGCUUGCUUGACUGUUCAGUUCCAAGGUCCUGCUCACUUUUUCUUGUCUUGCCUCUGCUCUGGCUUUCUUCAUGAUAGUGCUGGACGUGGAGCUGAGAGUCUUGUUUACUCUAGGCAAGCCCUCUACCUGAAGCCAGAGCCCAGCACUCCGUACCACCACAGACUUCUGAAGCUGGCAAAGUUUUAGAAGCUGGGAGUUUUCUGAUUCUCUCAUUAUUAAGUUUCUCCUCAGUCUUUAGAUAGAGGUAAAUGUGGGCUUGUAAGAAAAGAAACGAAAGCACGUAAUGUACACCUAUUCUGAAUUAUGCAAAUUAGCUCUUACUCAGGGUCAACUAAAUUACUUCAACUCGCCCUUUAGUUUACUCUUAAUUUGCAAAAAGAGAAAAAAGAAGGAAAACUAAAUAGGACUAUGAUUUGGGGAGCCAAAUUGAUAAUCUGAUGUAAAAGUUGCUGUGUUAAACAUAAAUUAUUAAGUGUAGACUUUUUUCCUAGGAUAUUGUAUUCAUUUUGUGAUAUCGCCUAGAAUGAUGUAUUAGAUAAAAAUCAAUUUUGUAAGUAUGUAAAUAUGUCAUAAAUAAAUACUUUGACUUAUUUCUCA
rnacentral:lncRNA from 1 species